rnacentral:rRNA from 1 species
ACUACGGGUGGCAGCAGUGGGGGAUAUUGCACAAUGGGGGGAACCCUGAUGCAGCGACGCCGCGUGGGUGAAGAAGCGCCUCGGCGCGUAAAGCCCUGUCAGCAGGGAAGAAAAUGACGGUACCUGAAGAAGAAGCCCCGGCUAACUACGUGCCAGCAGCCGCGGUAAUACGUAGGGGGCAAGCGAUAUCCGGCUUUCCUGGGUGUAAAGGGGGCGCAGACGGCGAUGCAAGCCAGGAGUGAAAGCCCGGGGCCCAACCCCGAGACUGCUCUUGGAACUGCGUGGCUGGAGUGCAGGAGGGGCAGGCGGAAUUCCUGGUGUAGCCGUGAAAUGCGUAGAUAUCAGGAGGAACACCGGUGGCGAAGGCGGCCUGCUGGACUGCAACUGACGUUGAGGCCCGAAAGCGUGGGGAGCAAACAGGAUUAGAUACCCUUGUAGUC